ACUGGGUGAGGUGGCGCGUGCCUGUAUUCUCAGCUAUGCUGGAGGCUGAGGUGGAAGUAUUGCUUGAGUUCAGGAGUUCUGGGCUGCAGUGCAUAUGCUGAUCAGGUGUCCGCAUUAAGUUCACCAUCAAUAUGGUGACCUCCUGGGAGCAGGGGAAUACCAGGUUGCCUAAGGAGGGGUGAACUGGCCCAGGUCUUAAAAAAAACUCUACAGAAAAUCAGAAUAGAUGGUCUUUACCUUAAUAUGAUAAAAGCCAUCUAUGAUAAAUCAACAGCCGACAUCUU
rfam:Cavia porcellus supercont2_17 genomic scaffold, whole genome shotgun sequence.